rnacentral:lncRNA from 1 species
GACCCUGUCAGGACACAGCAUGGACAUGAGGGUCCCUGCUCAGCUCCUGGGGCUCCUGCUGCUCUGGCUCCCAGGUACCAGAUGUGACAUCCAGAUGACCCAGUCUCCAUCCUCCCUGUCUGCAUCUGUAGGAGACAGAGUCACCAUCACUUGCCGGGCGAGUCAGAGCAUUAGCAAUUCUUUAGCCUGGUAUCAGCAGAAACCAGGGAAAGCCCCUAAGCUCCUGAUCUAUGCUGCAUCCAGAUUGGAAAGUGGGGUCCCAUCCAGGUUCAGUGGCAGUGGAUCUGGGACGGAUUACACUCUCACCAUCAGCAGCCUGCAGCCUGAAGAUUUUGCAACUUAUUACUGUCAACAGUAUUAUAGUACCCC